rnacentral:rRNA from 1 species
GACGUAGGAGGCGAGCGUUGUCCGGAUUCAUUGGGCGUAAAGAGCACGCAGGCGGUUUGGCAAGUCGGACGUGAAAAUCCGGGGCUCAACCCCGGACCUGCAUCCGAAACUGCCCGACUUGAGGUAGGUAGGGGAGAUCGGAAUUCCUGGUGUAGCGGUGAAAUGCGCAGAUAUCAGGAGGAACACCGGUGGCGAAGGCGGAUCUCUGGGCCUUACCUGACGCUCAGGUGCGAAAGCUAGGGGAGCGAACAGG